GCUUCUAAAGGAUAACAGCUCAUCCAUUGGUCUUAGGAACCAAAAACUCUUGGUGCAAAUCCAAGUA
rnacentral:tRNA from 1 species